CAAUAGCGUAUAUUAAAGUUGUUGCGGUUAAAAAGCUCGUAGUUGGAUUUCUGUUGGGAACGACCGGUCCGCCCAUUGGGUGUGUAUCUGGCUUGUUCUCGGCAUCUUCUUGGUGAACGUUGCUGCACUUGACUGUGUGGAGCGCUACCCAGGACUUUUACUUUGAGGAAAUUAGAGUGUUUCAAGCAGGCAUAUGCCUUGAAUACAUUAGCAUGGAAUAAUAAGAUAGGACCUCGGUUCUAUUUUGUUGGUUUCUAGAGCUGAGGUAAUGAUUAAUAGGGAUAGUUGGGGGCAUUCGUAUUUAACUGUCAGAGGUGAAAUUCUUGGAUUUGCUAAAGACGGACUACUGCGAAAGCAUUUGCCAAGGAUGUUUACAUUGA
rnacentral:rRNA from 1 species